rnacentral:rRNA from 1 species
UGAAUCCAUAGGUUAAUGAGGCGAACCGGGGGAACUGAAACAUCUAAGUACCCCGAGGAAAAGAAAUCAACCGAGAUUCCCCCAGUAGCGGCGAGCGAACGGGGAGCAGCCCAGAGCCUGAAUCAGUGUGUGUGUUAGUGGAAGCGUCUGGAAAGGCGCGUGAUACAGGGUGACAGCCCCGUACACAAAAAUGCACAUGCUGUGAGCUCGAUGAGUAGGGCGGGACACGUGGUAUCCUGUCUGAAUAUGGGGGGACCAUCCUCCAAGGCUAAAUACUCCUGACUGACCGAUAGUGAACCAGUACCGUGAGGGAAAGGCGAAAAGAACCCCGGCGAGGGGAGUGAAAAAGAACCUGAAACCGUGUACGUACAAGCAGUGGGAGCACGCUUAGGCGUGUGACUGCGUACCUUUUGUAUAAUGGGUCAGCGACUUAUAUUCUGUAGCAAGGUUAACCGAAUAGGGGAGCCGAAGGGAAACCGAGUCUUAACUGGGCGUUAAGUUGCAGGGUAUAGACCCGAAACCCGGUGAUCUAGCCAUGGGCAGGUUGAAGGUUGGGUAACACUAACUGGAGGACCGAACCGACUAAUGUUGAAAAAUUAGCGGAUGACUUGUGGCUGGGGGUGAAAGGCCAAUCAAACCGGGAGAUAGCUGGUUCUCCCCGAAAGCUAUUUAGGUAGCGCCUCGUGAAUUCAUCUCCGGGGGUAGAGCACUGUUUCGGCAAGGGGGUCAUCCCGACUUACCAACCCGAUGCAAACUGCGAAUACCGGAGAAUGUUAUCACGGGAGACACACGGCGGGUGCUAACGUCCGUCGUGAAGAGGGAAACAACCCAGACCGCCAGCUAAGGUCCCAAAGUCAUGGUUAAGUGGGAAACGAUGUGGGAAGGCCCAGACAGCCAGGAUGUUGGCUUAGAAGCAGCCAUCAUUUAAAGAAAGCGUAAUAGCUCACUGGUCGAGUCGGCCUGCGCGGAAGAUGUAACGGGGCUAAACCAUGCACCGAAGCUGCGGCAGCGACGCUUAUGCGUUGUUGGGUAGGGGAGCGUUCUGUAAGCCUGUGAAGGUGUACUGUGAGGUAUGCUGGAGGUAUCAGAAGUGCGAAUGCUGACAUAAGUAACGAUAAAGCGGGUGAAAAGCCCGCUCGCCGGAAGACCAAGGGUUCCUGUCCAACGUUAAUCGGGGCAGGGUGAGUCGACCCCUAAGGCGAGGCCGAAAGGCGUAGUCGAUGGGAAACAGGUUAAUAUUCCUGUACUUGGUGUUACUGCGAAGGGGGGACGGAGAAGGCUAUGUUGGCCGGGCGACGGUUGUCCCGGUUUAAGCGUGUAGGCUGGUUUUCCAGGCAAAUCCGGAAAAUCAAGGCUGAGGCGUGAUGACGAGGCACUACGGUGCUGAAGCAACAAAUGCCCUGCUUCCAGGAAAAGCCUCUAAGCAUCAGGUAACAUCAAAUCGUACCCCAAACCGACACAGGUGGUCAGGUAGAGAAUACCAAGGCGCUUGAGAGAACUCGGGUGAAGGAACUAGGCAAAAUGGUGCCGUAACUUCGGGAGAAGGCACGCUGAUAUGUAGGUGAAGUCCCUCGCGGAUGGAGCUGAAAUCAGUCGAAGAUACCAGCUGGCUGCAACUGUUUAUUAAAAACACAGCACUGUGCAAACACGAAAGUGGACGUAUACGGUGUGACGCCUGCCCGGUGC